rnacentral:rRNA from 1 species
GUUUGAUCCUGGCCCAGAUGGAACGCUAGCGGUGCGUUUAAUACAUGCAAGUCGACUGGGCAAAAGUGCUCAGGGCGUCCGGGUGAGUACAAAGCAGAAAAACUACCCCUAAGAGUGGACCAAGGGAGAGUCUAACUCCUCGAAUGUCCAGGUAGGGUGCGUUUAAUACACGCAAAAAGGAGAGAAUUCUCUCGCUUAGGGAGGGGUCUGCUUCGGAUUAGGUCGUAGGUGGUUUGUGCCCAUCCUAGCCGAUGAUCCGUAGCUGGUAUGAGAGUACGAUCAGCCACACUGGAACUGAAAAGGGUUCAGACAAUAGAUAUUGGCAGCAGUAAAGAAUCUUGCACAAUGGGGGAAACCCUGAUGCAGCGACGCCGCGUAGAGGAGGUUGACAGCGUACUGUUGUAAACUCUGGCCUGUGGUUCUAUGAUGAAGAACCAUAAGGAAAGCCCCGGCAAACUCCGUGCCAGCAGCCGCGGUAAGACGGAGGGGGCAAGUGUUCAUCGGAAUGACUGGGCGUGAAGGGUGUCUAGGCGGAAAAACACGCAUGCAUUGAAAGCCCUGCAGAAUGUGGAGGAACUGGUGCAUGGACGGUUUUUCAUGAGUUAUACAGAGGAAAACGGAAGGCGAAAGGAAGCGGUGCAAUGCAGUGAUCUUUCGUCGAAGGCCAGUUUGCGAAGGCUGUUUUCUGGGUAUACACUGACGCUGAAGCACGAAAGCGUGGGGAGCAAGAAGGAUUAGAGACCCUUUUAGUCCACGCCGAUAACGUUGUGUUCUAUCCGAGGGAAAAGAAUCUUUCUCGGGGAUUAAGGUUUACGCCAAAGAACACCGCCUGGGGAGUACGGUGGCAGCACUGAAACUCAAAGGAAUUGACGGGGGUCCACACAAGUAGUGGAGCAUG